UACGUAGGUGGCAAGCGUUGUCCGGAUUUACUGGGCGUAAAGGAUGCGUAGGCGGAUUUUUAAGUGGGAUGUGAAAUUCCGAGGCUCAACCUCGGCGCUGCAUUCCAAACUGGAAGUCUAGAGUGCGGGAGAGGAAAGUGGAAUUCCUAGUGUAGCGGUGAAAUGCGUAGAGAUUAGGAAGAACACCAGUGGCGAAGGCGACUUUCGGGACCGUAAAUGACGUUGAUGCAUGAAAGCGUGGGGAGCAAACAGG
rnacentral:rRNA from 1 species